rnacentral:rRNA from 1 species
GACGAACGCUGGCGGCGUGCUUAACACAUGCAAGUCGAGCGGUAAGGCCCUUCGGGGUACACGAGCGGCGAACGGGUGAGUAACACGUGGGUGAUCUGCCCUGUACUUCGGGAUAAGCCUGGGAAACUGGGUCUAAUACCGGAUAUGACCUUGGACUGCAUGGUCUUUGGUGGAAAGAUUUAUCGGUACAGGAUGGGCCCGCGGCCUAUCAGCUUGUUGGUGGGGUAAUGGCCUACCAAGGCGACGACGGGUAGCCGGCCUGAGAGGGCGACCGGCCACACUGGGACUGAGACACGGCCCAGACUCCUACGGGAGGCAGCAGUGGGGAAUAUUGCACAAUGGGCGGAAGCCUGAUGCAGCGACGCCGCGUGAGGGAUGACGGCCUUCGGGUUGUAAACCUCUUUCGACAGGGACGAAGCGCAACUGACGGUACCUGUAGAAGAAGCACCGGCCAACUACGUG